rnacentral:rRNA from 1 species
GUUGAUGGCCGUGCCACACUGGACCUACUUGAUUUCAACUGAUCUUGGAAGUUCAGCAGGGUCAGGCCUGGCUAACCCCUGGAAAAGAGAUUUUCUGGGAGUGCUAAUCGGCUUUGUUU